rnacentral:rRNA from 1 species
AGCAGUCGCCACGGAAAACGGAGGGUGCAAGCGUUAAUCGGAAUUACUGGGCGUAAAGCGCACGCAGGCGGUCUGUCAAGUCAGAUGUGAAAUCCCCGGGCUUAACCUGGGAACUGCAUUUGAAACUGGCAGGCUAGAGUCUUGUAGAGGGGGGUAGAAUUCCAGGUGUAGCGGUGAAAUGCGUAGAGAUCUGGAGGAAUACCGGUGGCGAAGGCGGCCCCCUGGACAAAGACUGACGCUCAGGUGCGAAAGCGUGGGGAGCAAACAGGAUUAGAUACCCCAGUAGUCCCUGUCUCUUAUACA